rnacentral:lncRNA from 1 species
UCAGAAGGAGCCCUGAAAACAAGCACUCUCAGCCCAGGGUUUUUUUGUGUGCCAAAAUUGUGACCUGGUGUGUGGGCCACAGGAGGUGUUCUUGGAAACUGGCUGUUUCUAGUCUCCAUGGCCUUGUCUUCCAGCAAUGCUGCUGCCUGAGGAGCCAGCCCCAUCCUGACCCACCUGGUCCUGGACCCUUCCCAGCCUGGGCACAGUGCAGAGCUGCAAGGUGGGUGUGUGAAAAGAACCUGGCAGAAUGAAAUACUGCUCACACCAGCGUGGGUACAACCACAAAACCUGUCCCGGGUGAAGCCAGGCAGUUAUCCACAGCUCUGGGUUAUGCUGUCAUCCCGGAUCAAGACAAAUUAGUGUGCACGGAGGCAAUCAGAAGUAAUUACUCUUUAAGAAACAAUAGGCGUCACUCUGUGGCUUCUGUCUGACAGCUGAAGAACCUGGCUCCCUGUGAAAAACCCACACAGCUUAAUCUCCUCCUGUCACAUCCUCUU